ACUAAUAUAGUAAUAUAUGGUUUUAAUAUAGAAAAUUAAAAGGGAAUGUGGUUAGAAUCCACAACAGCCCCCGCUACUGUAAAGGAUACGAAAUCUCAAAGAUCACUGAAUUUAUUUUGGGAAGAUGAGAAAGUAGGGUUGAAGCCUUGAGUCAGGAGACCUGCCAUAUAUUAAUAUCACAAA
rnacentral:ncRNA from 15 species